GCCCGCCUAGCUCAAUCGGAUAGAGCGUCAGACUUUUAAGGCGGAUUAUUUGAUUCCGUUGAACAUUCAGUACAUCUGAAGGCUGCGGGUUCGACCCCCGCGGUGGGCU